GACGAACGCUGGCGGCGUGCUUAACACAUGCAAGUCGAACGGAAAGGCCUGCUUUCCCUUGUGGAUUGCGGGUACUCGAGUGGCGAACGGGUGAGUAACACGUGAGUGAUCUGCCCCCAACUUGGGUAUAAGCCUGGGAAACUGGGUCUAAUUCCCGAUAGGACUGCAGGGUGGUGCCUGUGGUGGAAAACGAUUUUCUAGUGGUUGGGGAUGAGCUCGCGGCCUAUCAGCUUGUUGGUGGGGUAAUGGCCUACCAAGGCGGCGACGGGUAGCCGGCCUGAGAGGGUGGACGGCCACAUUGGGACUGAGAUACGGCCCAGACUCAUACGGGAGGCAGCAGUGGGGAAUAGUGCACAAUGGGCGGAAGCCUGAUGCAGCGACGCCGCGUGGGGGAUGACGGCCUUCGGGUUGUAAACUCCUUUCGACCGCGAGGAAGCCACCUGGUUGGAAGGGUGGUGACGGUAGUGGUAGAAGAAGCACCGGCUAACUACGUG
rnacentral:rRNA from 1 species